UGGCGGCCAUAGCGCCGUGGAACCACCUGAUCCCAUGCCGAACUCAGAAGUGAAACGCGGUAGCGCCGAUGGUAGUGUGGCAUUCGCCAUGCGAGAGUAGGACACUGCCAGGC
rnacentral:rRNA from 2 species